rnacentral:lncRNA from 1 species
UCUUCCUGAUUCUCUCUGUCAGUCUCCUUAUGUUUGUUUUAUAGAUAAUGUGCAAGGUUCCUAGGUGUUGGUACUGGGAGGAGUGGGGAAAAGUACACUGACUCCACCUUCCCAGAAAUGAAUAGCCCAUGCAUUACUUUUUUCAAAUAAAAGCUCCUUGAAAGUGUUCAAAAAUACAGUUUACUCAUCCAUUCUAUCCUUUUUUACUUAGUUUUUCCCUUGACCCAAAGUAUUUCUAAUAUGAUUGAGAGGAGGUUCCCAAGUCCAAAAUCUGAAAAUAAUAAUGCCCUGAAUUAACCAAUCAAUGUUAAAUUUCCUUAAUUAUCUUAUAUUUUAUUUUUACUGUUUGUUUGAAUCAAGAUCCAAAGACAGUUUGAUCCUUGAACAACACAACUUGAACUGUGUGGGUCCACUUAUACAUGGAUUUCCUUCUUCCUCUACCACUCUGGAGAUAGCAAGACCAACCCUUCCUUUUCCUUCUCCUCAACCUACUCAACAUGAAGAUGAUGAUCCACUUUUUUAAUGAUGAUCCACUUCAAGUUAAUGAACAAGAAAUAUAUUUUACCUUCCUUAUGAUUUUCUUAAUAACAUUU